GCGGCCGAUGUCUGAUUAGCUAGUUGGUGAGGUAAUGGCUUACCAAGGCGACGAUCAGUAGCUGGUCUGAGAGGACGACCAGCCACACUGGGACUGAGACACGGCCCAGACUCCUACGGGAGGCAGCAGUGGGGAAUUUUGGACAAUGGGGGAAACCCUGAUCCAGCCAUGCCGCGUGAGUGAAGAAGGCCUUCGGGUUGUAAAGCUCUUUCAGCCGGAACGAAACGGUCACGGNUAAUAUCCGUGACUACUGACGGUACCGGAAGAAGAAGCACCGGCUAACUACGUGCCAGCAGCCGCGGUAAUACGUANGGUGCAAGCGUUAAUCGGAAUUACUGGGCGUAAAGCGUGCGCAGGCGGUUUUGUAAGUCAGAUGUGAAAGCCCCGGGCUUAACCUGGGAACU
rnacentral:rRNA from 1 species